rnacentral:rRNA from 1 species
AUUCCAGCUCCAAUAGCGUAUAUUAAAGUUGUUGUGGUUAAAAAGCUCGUAGUUGGAUUUCGGCGGGUAUUGGUUGGUUUGAAUUGCUUCAACACUGACUUUUUUACCCGUGUGUUUUGCCAGAAUUUAGCGGGUGAUCUUCGCCGAUUGUCCGUUGGAACUGGUAGGUUUACUUUGAAAAAAUUAGAGUGCUCAAAGCAAGCUUACUGCUUGAAUAGUUGCGCAUGGAAUAAUAGAAUAGGAAGUCGUUUCUAUUUUGUUGGUUUUCGGAAAUCGACUUAAUGAUUAAUAGGGAUAGUCGGGGGCAUUCGUAUUCAAACGACAGAGGUGAAAUUCUUGGACCGUUUGAAGACGAACUAAGGCGAAAGCAUUUGCCAAGAAUGUUUUCAUUG